rnacentral:hammerhead_ribozyme from 1 species
GCGCUGCUGAAGAGUCCCACAUUAGGGCGAAACGGCCGUCCAGUGU